UACGUAGGUGACCAGCGUUGUCCGGAUUUACUGGGCGUAAAGAGCGCGCAGGCGGUCGUUCAAGUCGAGUGUGAAAGCCCCCGGCUCAACUGGGGAGGGUCACUCGAUACUGAUCGACUUGAAGGCAGGAGAGGGAAGCGGAAUUCCCGGUGUAGUGGUGAAAUGCGUAGAUAUCGGGAGGAACACCAGUGGCGAAGGCGGGCUUCCUGGCCUGUUCUUGACGCUGAGGCGCGAAAGCUAGGGGAGCAAACGGG
rnacentral:rRNA from 1 species